UAGUUGCCAGCAUUCAUUGGGCACUCUAAGGUGACUGCCGGCUAAAAGUCGGAGGAAGGUGGGAUGACGUCAAAUCAUCAUGCCCUUAUGACCUGGGCUACACACGUGCUACAAUGGGCGGUACAAAGGGUCGCGAACCCGCGAGGGGGAGCCAAUCCCAAAAAGCCGCUCUCAGUUCGGAUUGCAGGCUGCAACUCGCCUGCAUGAAGCCGGAAUCGCUAGUAAUCGCGGAUCAGCAUGCCGCGGUGAAUACGUUCCCGGGCCUU
rnacentral:rRNA from 1 species